rnacentral:rRNA from 1 species
AUUGAACGCUGGCGACAUGCCUUACACAUGCAAGUCGAACGGCAGCACGGGGGCAACCCUGGUGGCGAGUGGCGAACGGGUGAGUAAUACAUCGGAACGUGCCCAGUAGUGGGGGAUAGCCCGGCGAAAGCCGGAUUAAUACCGCAUGCGACCUACGGGUGAAAGCGGGGAUCGCAAGACCUCGCGCUGUUGGAGCGGCCGAUGUCAGAUUAGGUUGUUGGUGGGGUAAAGGCCUACCAAGCCGACGAUCUGUAGCUGGUCUGAGAGGACGACCAGCCACACUGGGACUGAGACACGGCCCAGACUCCUACGGGAGGCAGCAGGUGGGGAAUUUUGGACAAUGGGGGCAACCCUGAUCCAGCCAUGCCGCGUGCGGGAAGAAGGCCUCGGUGUAACG